GGUCUCUUGGCGCAAUGGACAGCGCGUCUCGCUUCGAACGAGAAGGUUGCAGGUUCGAGUCCUGCAGAGAUCG